rnacentral:rRNA from 1 species
GACGAACGCUGGCGGCGUGCUUAACACAUGCAAGUCGAACGGUGAAGCUCCAGCUUGCUGGAGUGGAUCAGUGGCGAACGGGUGAGUAACACGUGAGCAACCUGCCCCUGACUCUGGAAUAAGCGCUGGAGACGGCGUCUAAUACUGGAUACGAGAAGGGCCCGCAUGGGCACUUUCUGGAAAGUUUUUCGGUUGGGGAUGGGCUCGCGGCCUAUCAGCUUGUUGGUGAGGUAAUGGCUCACCAAGGCGACGACGGGUAGCCGGCCUGAGAGGGCGACCGGCCACACUGGGACUGAGACACGGCCCAGACUCCUACGGGAGGCAGCAGUGGGGAAUAUUGCACAAUGGGCGAAAGCCUGAUGCAGCGACGCCGCGUGAGGGAUGACGGCCUUCGGGUUGUAAACCUCUUUCAGCAGGGAAGAAGCGAAAGUGACGGUACCUGCAGAAGAAGCACCGGCUAACUACGUG